CUCAGAACAUCCCGCGAAAGGGCCACGCAGCCUUUUCCCUCCUCCUACGCAGCUUGUAACGUUUUUUGGAAAGACUCUGUCAGGUCUUUGGAGCCUUGUCGGUUUCAAAGGCCCCCCGACCUUUUAAUAACCACUUUCCGGCCUUAUCGGAAUGCUUCCUAAUUCACCCCCUUCUGUCCUGAAAAAUAUCUAAAUCCUAUUUAAGUUAAUGCCCUUCAUUUUCAUUUAUAAAGACAGAUACAAAAUAAUUAUUUCCUAUCUCCACUGUUUCCUUAUCUUCUGUCCUAAUAAUUCUUCACUGUCUCCCUUUCAUCAUCUGUCUACUGCAGGAAACUUUUUUCUGCUCGCUAAAAUAUUCCAGGCUCAUCUUCUUUGACGGCGCCUUUAAUCUCUUCUUCCCACCACUCUUCCCUCCCAUCGCCAAGACCCUCCAGAAGACCCCGUAUCCCCACUCAGAUGUUUGUCUUGUGGUUGAGCAAGUGGAUGUGUAAUUGCCAGCUGCCCACUUCUUCAAGUGGAGCCUUUGAUGUCCAAGGAGCCCUACCUUGUGCAAAUGUUUUGCAUAAACAGACUCUCUUCUGAAAAUGAGCACUCUUCCCUUCACCUCACAUGAAAGUGGCACUUGCAGAUGUAUCUCCUGGCUAUCAUUUGAAGUGUCUGAUUAAAAGGAGACCAGGAAGAGGAGCCCCUGCAGAAGAGAAGCCUGCCAGCUCCCAAAAGGAGAAGCUGCGCUUGUCCACUGCUGCCAUCAGAAGCUCCAUGAGAACAGACAAUGCCUGGCAUGGGUAAGAAAGGCCACCAACACCCAACCCAACAUUUCCUGGAAGGCUUUUCACUGUUAGUUAUUGUGCUGGGCUGAAGUCACAACAGGAAGGAGGAAGGGACCCACAUGAAAACGGACACAUCCCCAUCAGACAACUCAAAAGUUAACUUUGGCCCCUCUGAGGUGCCCUUCCAUCCCAUCUUCUGCAAGAAUUUCUCUUUGCAAUGAUCUCGUCUGAAUGUCACUGUAAGCUUGCAUGGACUAGAGUGGGAGCUCUCAAACUUCGGCCCCCCAGAAGUUGUAGGAGUACAACUCCCAUCAUCCUCAGCUGUGGCCAAGUAGACUGUUUAAGUAGACCUUGGGCAUGAUGGGAGGGACAACAAGAAGAGCUACAAGUGAUCUGGCAAUCUUGGAAGGGAAGCAAAAGAAAGGGAUGGUUUGACUGCCCAGAAAAAGGAAGAGGAGGGUUAAUAUGCUCAUGGCUUUCAAAUAAUUACAAGAACCUUGGCUAGAAGAGCUGAAACGGUCUUUCCCCUACUCACCAGGACAGAACAGGAGACAAAGUACAGAAAGGUGGAGCUAGACUACCCAUUCAGGAGGACAGUCUCCAGGCAUUUCAGCCAUUGAGCAGGAGAACUUCCCAAUGGCUCAUGCCCGACUUCUCUAACCUUUUCUGCAAGUUGUAUUCUGGAGAGAGCAUGUGAAUGUUGUCCCUCAAUCCAGCCGGAGGAUUCCACAGGAAUGGCUCCCAGUGCUAGGAAAAGCCCAGAACAACUUAGCCUGCAAAAGGAACGAGUCCAGCUCAUCUGCGGACUUUCUCUGUUUACCGCCAGUCCAUCUGGGCCCUGGGGGCUGUUCAGGCUCUUGAGGAGAUCACGCUGGACUGACCACGCGCAGAGACUUCUGCUGCAAAAGGAAAAAGGUGAGAAGGAAGAAGCGUCGGCAUCUCACUUUGCAGGCCAGGCACAAAUAGUGCUGUAGCGGCUGGUGCUCUGGUCGCCUUCUCCUCUGUCACAACUGUAAAGAGCAUGAAAACGUGCCAGCUGCAAAUUCAGGGCUGUUUGGUGGGCCCUGAACUCCAAAGACAGGCCACCAUCCAAAUAUACCCUCGUCUCCAUGCCAAGCACCUUUCCAACGUGCUGCCUGGACUAAACAACAUCAUGUUAACAGGAACGGACAACCGAGCAGAGACACCAGCAGCACGCCCGUCACAAACAUGCAUAUUCCCUCUGACAGCCAGAGUUGGUGCAGAGACGCCUGGUUGCCAGAGACUGAAGUAGAAAAGUCUGACUGGCUAGAAUAACACAGACCGUCACUUGGUCUCGUGCCUUCAGUGGGGUCUCCAGUUCCACAGAGGAAGCCACACAUUCUUCCUAGAGAACCCUUAAAUCCUGAGGUUGGAAUUCACUGCAUCAUUUCAGUGUCCAUUUUCCCCUCUGCUUGCAUGCAUUCUUUCAGUCCAUAAUGUGUGCAGUUUUGCAGAAUCCCUUUUACAUGCACAAAUAUGUCAAUAGUACUGGAAUGAAGGGGAAACAUACUUGAA